UUUUAAAAGCGGAAAGGAAAAAAAUAUUAAAUAAAAAAAAAAGAAGUCUGUUAAGCGGAUGAGAGCGAAGGAUGAUCCCGAGUUCAAUCCCGGUCG